UACAGAGGGUGCAAGCGUUGUUCGGAAUUAUUGGGCGUAAAGCGCGUGUAGGCGGCUUUGCAAGUCGGGUGUGAAAGCCCUCGGCUCAACCGAGGAAGUGCGCCCGAAACUGCAGAGCUUGAGUACCGGAGAGGAUGGCGGAAUUCCCCAAGUAGAGGUGAAAUUCGUAGAUAUGGGGAGGAACACCGGUGGCGAAGGCGGCCAUCUGGAUGGAUACUGACGCUGAGACGCGAAAGCGUGGGGAGCAAACAGG
rnacentral:rRNA from 1 species